CCUUCACCUAGAGCCAUUGUGGGUGUGGCUGUGUCACAUGUAUGUCAGUGGGUGGCAGAGAAGAGCGAGCCUAUGUCUACACUUGGUGUUCAGACCUGUGAACAUCUGAAGGAUUGAUUACACUCCCUGA